AAGAGAUGGGGAUAUAACUACCAAUAGUUAGAGUCCUGUUUUUCAUGUAGAUGUUUGCUUUCAGGAAUAAAGAGAUGAAAAAUUAAGGAAAUAUGAAAUGUGGCUGGAAGAAAUCUUCAAAGGAAAAGGAAACACUAUUAUCCAUGAAACCAUGAAAGCAUGAAAAGAGACGCUCUGUAAAACAGUUGAGGAUGCUAAAGAACACAGGGAAGGAAGAAGAAAAGGAAAUGAAAUGAGAAAAUUUGUUCUUUUAAGAAGAUGAAGAGGAGAGACAUUAUAAAUGAAGUCAACAAAGUAAAGAGGCAUCGAUAAAGAACUGCAAAACCACCCAGGGUCUCUGGUUUUGGAAUUGAAUGGUGAUUGGUAUGUGCAUAAGAGAAAAAAAUGAUGUCUGCAGUGUUCCUCAAGAUGCCCUCUGUGUUGCACUGGUGGCCAACAGUAAGUUCGGCAGCAAGAGAAUAAAGAAGAUGGGAAGUAAUAAUAACAAUAAAAAGAAUAAUCUGGUGCAAAUGGACCCCAAGGUGUAGUUGUCAUCCCUGUGCAACAAUCACCCUUCACUGCAAUUUACUGAUGUUGCUUCAUUACAAUACAGCAUAUAAAGGGGCAAUGCACAAAGUCACUAUUUAAAGCUACAUGGUUAGAAGCAGUGCAUCCCACCCUAACAGGGACCGUUAUGGGAGCUAAGUCAGAUUGUUCAAAAGUGAAUUGACCUGUAAAAUAAAUAAAUAAAUAAAUAGAGGUGAAACCUGAAUGCAGCAUGGUGCUAAAUUUGGGGAGAAACGGAAGAAAAGGUAGCAGGAAAAAGCUUUUCCUUAGUGAAAUAUUAAAGGGAUCCCAAAUUAAUCUGGAUUAAAACAUCCUUUGAGAGUGUAACAACUUGUGGCUUUGCUAAAAGGAAAAGAUAAAGAAUAUGAUGUUUCCUGUUUGGAAAAUACAAACAGGCUCUCCGUUUUCUAUUUUUAUCCCUCAUAAAAUGAACUGAAAUAAUGUUUUUAGGUAAACGUAACACUGUAAAUUCAGGUUAAUAUGACUGAAAAGAGAGAACGACUGAUUUUUCUAAUUUUUGUCUGCUGUAAUCGAAAGUCUUACUUUUCAGUCAGUGCUCAAAAGAUGCCGAGGCAGUGUGUUAUGGGGAAAAAAAGAGAUUCUCUCCUCACCAAGGAUCACUGAGUAUGUCAUUGGUUAAUUCUUGCUCUAUGCUUCUCAUUAGCAUUACUCUCAAGUUUCUGGUUAUCAUAUCCGAAAUAUUAAGACAUAAUAACUACGAAGGUGCAGAUAAUUGGAUAUUAACCAGAACAUACUUGACUGGGCAGGAGGUAGAGCCCUGCUUAAACUAAUCCUGAAAUAUAUUAAUCACCAAUUAAUGAAAGGGUUUCAAAUUCAUUUCUAUUAUAGAACACCUCCGAGUAUCUAAGCUUUUUCUAACAAAAUGACUUGGAAUAACAGGGUAGAAAUAAGAAAUACAGCCAUCUGAUGAUGGCUUGAAUUAAUUCUUUACGGCCUGUUGUCAGGUAAUCAUGAAAACUAUAGUUAAAGCCUUACUUACUCUUUACAAAGUCUGAUGAAAAGAAGGAACUCUUUUCAAAGUUCAGUGGCCUCUGUUUAAUAUUACAAAUUUAUCCCUUUAAAUAACAGAGCCAUAGCUAAAUAUUUCAUCAGAGAGCUGUCAGAAUAUUAUCCAAGUCUUCCACCUCCAGACCUUCAGCUCAAUAACAGAUGUACUCUUAAAAUAUAAAGCCAAUUAAUGGAAGCCCAGAGAACUCCAGUGAAGACAUGCUUUAUACACAGUGAACACUCCAUGGUACUAGGUUGAUGAAUUAAGAGAUAAAAACCUUGUCUAGUAGAAAUGUCACCCACCACUUAACUUACACGGAAAUAAAGUAAUGCUAAAAAAAAAAAAAAAAAAA